GAUGAACGCUGGCGGCGUGCCUAAUACAUGCAAGUCGAGCGAACGGACGAGAAGCUUGCUUCUCUGAUGUUAGCGGCGGACGGGUGAGUAACACGUGGAUAACCUACCUAUAAGACUGGGAUAACUUCGGGACACCGUAGCUAAUACCGGAUAAUAUUUUGAACCGCAUGGUUCAAAAGUGAAAGACGGUCUUGCUGUCACUUAUCGAUGGAUCCGCGCUGCAUUAGCUAGUUGGUAAGGUAACGGCUUACCAAGGCAACGAUGCAUAGCCGACCUGAGAGGGUGAUCGGCCACACUGGAACUGAGACACGGUCCAGACUCCUACGGGAGGCAGCAGUAGGGAAUCUUCCGCAAUGGGCGGGAGCCUGACGGAGCAACGCCGCGUGAGUGGUGAAGGUCUUCGGAUCGUAAAACUCUGUUAUUAGGGAAGAACAUAUGUGUAAGUAACUGUGCACAUCUUGACGGUACCUAAUCAGAAAGCCACGGCUAACUACGUG
rnacentral:rRNA from 1 species